GUUUUUUUCUUAUUUGAUUUAUGUGGAAUCUUGUAUUUGAAAUUUGUUUAGGCUCCAAACGGAUAAGGAGUGAAGGUUUGAAAAUUUGUUAUCUACAACUAACUACUGGUGCCGAUAUUCCAGUAAAGUGCUGGCCAUCCAACUUUACUGCUGGUCGUUUAGCAACGAGCCCUAUAUAUCUCUUCAGUUCGGAUAUUCUCCGUACUCCAGUUUUCUGAGCGCGGUGCCUUGGGGAUGGCAAACCAAAUUGAUUUCCG
rnacentral:lncRNA from 1 species